AGAGUUUGAUCAUGGCUCAGAUUGAACGCUGGCGGCAGGCCUAACACAUGCAAGUCGAACGGUAACAGGAAGCAGCUUGCUGCUUUGCUGACGAGUGGCGGACGGGUGAGUAAUGUCUGGGAAACUGCCUGAUGGAGGGGGAUAACUACUGGAAACGGUGGCUAAUACCGCAUAACGUCGCAAGACCAAAGAGGGGGACCUUCGGGCCUCUUGCCAUCAGAUGUGCCCAGAUGGGAUUAGCUUGUUGGUGAGGUAACGGCUCACCAAGGCGACGAUCCCUAGCUGGUCUGAGAGGAUGACCAGCCACACUGGAACUGAGACACGGUCCAGACUCCUACGGGAGGCAGCAGUGGGGAAUAUUGCACAAUGGGCGCAAGCCUGAUGCAGCCAUGCCGCGUGUAUGAAGAAGGCCUUCGGGUUGUAAAGUACUUUCAGCGGGGAGGAAGGUGUUGUGGUUAAUAACCGCAGCAAUUGACGUUACCCGCAGAAGAAGCACCGGCUAACUCCGUGCCAGCAGCCGCGGUAAUACGGAGGGUGCAAGCGUUAAUCGGAAUUACUGGGCGUAAAGCGCACGCAGGCGGUCUGUCAAGUCGGAUGUGAAAUCCCCGGGCUCAACCUGGGAACUGCAUUCGAAACUGGCAGGCUUGAGUCUUGUAGAGGGGGGUAGAAUUCCAGGUGUAGCGGUGAAAUGCGUAGAGAUCUGGAGGAAUACCGGUGGCGAAGGCGGCCCCCUGGACAAAGACUGACGCUCAGGUGCGAAAGCGUGGGGAGCAAACAGGAUUAGAUACCCUGGUAGUCCACGCCGUAAACGAUGUCUACUUGGAGGUUGUGCCCUUGAGGCGUGGCUUCCGGAGCUAACGCGUUAAGUAGACCGCCUGGGGAGUACGGCCGCAAGGUUAAAACUCAAAUGAAUUGACGGGGGCCCGCACAAGCGGUGGAGCAUGUGGUUUAAUUCGAUGCAACGCGAAGAACCUUACCUGGUCUUGACAUCCACAGAACUUUCCAGAGAUGGAUUGGUGCCUUCGGGAACUGUGAGACAGGUGCUGCAUGGCUGUCGUCAGCUCGUGUUGUGAAAUGUUGGGUUAAGUCCCGCAACGAGCGCAACCCUUAUCCUUUGUUGCCAGCGGUCCGGCCGGGAACUCAAAGGAGACUGCCAGUGAUAAACUGGAGGAAGGUGGGGAUGACGUCAAGUCAUCAUGGCCCUUACGACCAGGGCUACACACGUGCUACAAUGGCGCAUACAAAGAGAAGCGACCUCGCGAGAGUAAGCGGACCUCAUAAAGUGUCGUAGUCCGGAUUGGAGUCUGCAACUCGACUCCAUGAAGUCGGAAUCGCUAGUAAUCGUGGAUCAGAAUGCCACGGUGAAUACGUUCCCGGGCCUUGUACACACCGCCCGUCACACCAUGGGAGUGGGUUGCAAAAGAAGUAGGUAGCUUAACCUUCGGGGGGGCGCUUACCACUUUGUGAUUCAUGACUGGGGUGAAGUCGUAACAAGGUAACCGUAGGGGAACCUGCGGUUG
rnacentral:rRNA from 1 species